rnacentral:rRNA from 1 species
UACGUAGGGGGCAAGCGUUAUCCGGAAUCACUGGGUGUAAAGGGAGCGUAGACGGCUGUGCAAGCCUGAAGUGAAAGGCGGGGGCCCAACCCCCGGACUGCUUUGGGAACUGUACGGCUGGAGUGCAGGAGAGGUAAGUGGAAUUCCUAGUGUAGCGGUGAAAUGCGUAGAUAUUAGGAGGAACACCAGUGGCGAAGGCGGCUUACUAAGCCAUAACUGACACUGAAGCACGAAAGCGUGGGGAUCAAACAGG